UACAGAGGUCCCAAGCGUUGUUCGGAUUCACUGGGCGUAAAGGGCGCGUAGGCGGCCUUCUAAGUCGAACGUGAAAUCCCUGGGCUCAACCCAGGAACUGCGUCCGAUACUGGAAGGCUUGAAUCCGGGAGAGGGAUGCGGAAUUCCAGGUGUAGCGGUGAAAUGCGUAGAUAUCUGGAGGAACACCGGUGGCGAAGGCGGCAUCCUGGACCGGUAUUGACGCUGAGGCGCGAAAGCCAGGGGAGCAAACGGG
rnacentral:rRNA from 1 species